rnacentral:rRNA from 1 species
UACGAAGGGGACUAGCGUUGUUCGGAAUUACUGGGCGUAAAGCGCACGUAGGCGGAUUUGUAAGUCAGGGGUGAAAUCCCGGGGUUCAACCUCGGAACUGCCUUUGAUACUGCAAAUCUCGAGUCCGAUAGAGGUGGGUGGAAUUCCUAGUGUAGAGGUGAAAUUCGUAGAUAUUAGGAAGAACACCGGUGGCGAAGGCGGCCCACUGGAUCGGUACUGACGCUGAGGUGCGAAAGCGUGGGGAGCAAACAGG